AAAUUGAAGAGUUUGAUCAUGGCUCAGAUUGAACGCUGGCGGCAGGCCUAACACAUGCAAGUCGAACGGUAACAGGAAGCAGCUUGCUGCUUCGCUGACGAGUGGCGGACGGGUGAGUAAUGUCUGGGAAACUGCCUGAUGGAGGGGGAUAACUACUGGAAACGGUGGCUAAUACCGCAUAACGUCGCAAGACCAAAGAGGGGGACCUUCGGGCCUCUUGCCAUCAGAUGUGCCCAGAUGGGAUUAGCUUGUUGGUGAGGUAACGGCUCACCAAGGCGACGAUCCCUAGCUGGUCUGAGAGGAUGACCAGCCACACUGGAACUGAGACACGGUCCAGACUCCUACGGGAGGCAGCAGUGGGGAAUAUUGCACAAUGGGCGCAAGCCUGAUGCAGCCAUGCCGCGUGUAUGAAGAAGGCCUUCGGGUUGUAAAGUACUUUCAGCGGGGAGGAAGGUGUUGCGGUUAAUAACCGCAGCAAUUGACGUUACCCGCAGAAGAAGCA
rnacentral:rRNA from 1 species